rnacentral:rRNA from 1 species
CUAGAGUUCUGGGCCGCACGCGCGCUACACUGACGGAGCCAGCGAGUACUUCCUUGGCCGAAAGGCCCGGGUAAUCUUGUUAAACUCCGUCGUGCUGGGGAUAGAGCAUUGCAAUUAUUGCUCUUCAACGAGGAAUCCCUAGUAAGCGCAAGUCAUCAGCUUGCGUUGAUUACGUCCCUGCCCUUUGUACACACCGCCCGUCGCUACUACCGAUUGAAUGGCUCAGUGAGGCGUCCGGACUGGCCCAGGGAGGUGGGCAACUACCACCCAGGGCCGGAAAGCUCUCCAAACUCGGUCAUUUAGAGGAAGUAAAAGUCGUAACAAGGUCUCCGUUGGUGAACCAGCGGAGGGAUCAUUACCGAGUUUACAACUCCCAAACCCAUGUGAACAUACCUUUACGUUGCUUCGGCGGAGCCGCCCCGGCGCCCGGAACCUCUUCGGUUUCGCGGCCCGGAACAGGCGCCCGCCGGAGGCCACAAACUCUUUUGUUUUUACAGUUUCUUCUGAGUGUGCCGCAAGGCAAAAUACAAAUGAAUCAAAACUUUCAACAACGGAUCUCUUGGUUCUGGCAUCCAUGAAAAACGCACCGAAAUGCGAUAAGUAAUGUGGAAUUGCAGAAAUUCAGUGAAUCAUCGAAUCUUUGAACGCACAUUUGCGCCCGCCAGAAAUCUGGGGGGGCAUGCCUGUUCAGCGUCAUUUCAACCUCGAGCUCCCCUCUUUUUGGGAAAACCCGGCGUUGGGAACCGGCCUAAAACCCCCGGCCCCCAAAUGGAGGGGGGGCCGUCCCCGGGGACUCUGCGUAAAAAUAUCCACUCCACCGGGACCCGGGGGGGGCCCCCCUUUAAAACCCCCCUUCC